UGAUAUGCAAAUGACACGAUCUUGGCUCAUUGCAACUUCUGCCUCCCUACGUCAGUGUAUCCGUCUCUCCCUGUGUGAAUCCUGUUACUUGGACUUGUGUAGAGGUUGCAGUUUGAUCUUUCGUGUAGUAAUGACUGGCAUCAAUUUAUAUCGAUAGAAUGAAAAAUUCUAAAGAACACUUUGUGGUAGAGAAAUAAAGGAGAUCUCGUCUUUGAAGAUGCAGAAUAUGGCAAGUAACUUUCCAGUAAAUCAUUCUAUUUUAGUGGAGGAGUUUUGAAGGAAGAUAAGCCCUGAGUUUCCUGAUUAUGUAUAAUUCAAACAUAGAUAUUCAAAAGUCUCAGAGAUAACAUUCUUCCGUAUAGAUAGAAGAGUUUGCUUUGUCUA
rnacentral:lncRNA from 1 species